UUUGGAUAGACUGCGAAGAUCACAAAUGCCUUCAAUGAUGCACCUCUGGGAAAUAGUCACAGAUGGGGCUAGCAGUUAUUCAGAUGAAUCAGCAGCACUGCAAACAAGCUAAGCAGCUAGUGAAAGGUUGGAGGUACAAUAUUUGGCCGGGGAGGGGCAGAGAGCUCUUGCUGCCCAGGCAGGCCUGACGCCUCAACCAGGCUUUUACAGUAGGAAGGAGUGAAGCACACAGAGGUUUACCGCCAUGCUGGGAUCACCAGUUUAAUGGAGGCUCGCCCUAUCCCACAUUCAAACCCUGCAUCUCUUGGCUCCCUUCCGGCAGCUGGAGUAUACUGGGGAGCGUUCCCAUGGAAAAGCUGUUAAACUGGCCACGGUAGUGAGGAUGAGGAACAAGUUUCCAUCAUGUUCUAACUAGCUACAAAGAGAUUCACAUAUUGCACUGCCAUAUAGACUUCUCUACUGUAAGAUAGUUCUAGUAGGCUAAUUGUGAUGUAGUAAGUUUUAGUUGGCAGUUGGAGAUUUUGUCUGCUUUUUUCUGUCGUUUUCCAGUCUAGUGGCUACAGGUGUGUACAUGACCAGGUCUAUUUCCUCCUGAACUGACCUAUGAGGGGUCUGAGUGAGCUUGUUUUUGCAUCGUCUCCAUGUUGCUAUGCAGACUGACUUUUCCAUUGGCUGGGUUUUACCAGUCAUCCUUAAAGACAAGCCUGGUCCUGAUUGUUCCGGAUCGUACGGCGGAAUCAAAUUAGGGACUGGUAAUGGCCAUAAAGUCCAUGUCUGAGGCAUUAUACUCAAGGGCGUGGGCCCACCUCACAUUUCCCAUCCGCAUUUCCUUUCGUCCUCGUUUCUGAGUGGGACUGUCAGCUUUUUUCAUUACCAGCUAAUCUGGAGGAUUUGUAACUAAAACAACAAACAGAUAAAAACGCACAAAUCAAUGGGAGAGAGUGAUGUUCCACCAAUCAACUGUAUGUUCAUAAUUGGCCAACUCAUACAUCAUGCUUGUUCUUCUAUGAAUGGGCCCCAUGCUUUGCAGUUGUUUAUAAAAUUCGAGGUGGA